UCCAUGGCUCCACCUCGCGCGUGGCUGCCGCCGACCUCUCCAUCCAGCUCGCCCACCCCUUGCGCCGCCGCCCGGCGAGUUCUCGCGCUACUCCGCCCCUCCGCCCCUGUCCCUACUGUCCUCUUCGUGAGAUUGAGUGUUGCGCCCCGGCGUUCACCGCGAGCGCGAGCGACACCGGCCCCUGAUUGGCCCUUUCCCGUCAUACUUCCGGUAUGCCAUGCUUGCGACCUCCCGUUCUGCCCCGAGCUCGUGGCUUUCUUCUAGCGGCACAGGAGCAACGCCAAGAGCGAGCUGCAGGCGCGGUCCUCUCUUCUCCUGCCCAAGAGUUCCAUAAGAUGGCCGUCGCUGCUGCGUAUUGAGUAGGCACUGGGUGGAGAGCUACUGUUAUCUGGUCAGUCUACGCCGUGUAUUGAACUCUGAUCUACUCUUUCAGUUUCUCUGAACUACUUUCGUGGAGCAUACCUGUUGAGUUUCAGCUAAGAGAUUCAAUCAUAAUGAACUUAGUUUCCUGUUUGUUCCAAGUACGUGGGCACCUGAUAAUCUAGGACGGGUAGUUAAUUGUGAAUAAUGAUAUCUGGUUCUUUUUUCUGUAUUGAUGAUGUUUCUAUUUUUAUCUGAAUGUUAAACAUUCAACCAGUGUACAUGGCAAUGUAUCGGGCCAUUUGUCAGAGUUAAUAUAGAUGAUGCAACCUAUACUUACAGUGCAGCAAUGCAAGCCAUAUAAAUGCUGGUUUAUGUGAAAUUCUCAAUAAUGUGCAUGUCUCAUACUAUUGCAAAUCACCGUCAGGUAGGGUGAACUAUGCACGAUGAGCAUUGAUGGUGUCAUCUCGCGUUUUAGAGACAGAGUAGCAGCUUAUAAAUAGCGCCGUGAGGAAAGUUACAAGCUUGGCUUGGUUAAUUUUAUGUAGCGGCAAUCUCAUCACUCUUGUAUAUAUAUAUAUGCAAGAGACUUGGAGGCUGCUGGUUUCUUUGCAUUCUGUAGUAUGGGUAAUUCUAAUUAUGAAGCUGCCUUAUGACACAUGGCGUGAGCAUCAUUUUCUGUGGUUUUCAUCUGUCAGCUAGGUAUCUCUUUGCAAUUUAUUGGAACCAUUGGCCGCACUACCUUGCAUAUUUCUCUUUGAUUUGUCCAAGUGGGGUACUACUUACGAUAUUAAUUUAUGAUUUUCUUUUCGUAAUAUUUCUAUCGAGGAGGAGUAAUACAUAAGGUGUCCUGCAAUAUUCAGUAAGUAAAAACGCAUGGGAGAAACAUGAAUGCAUUGAAGAAAUAUAUUGGGAUCAAGGAAACAUGUGCUACUUCUUGGCCAUAGCAAGGGUCGUGUAGAUGCACUCUACUGGCCAUAACUGAAAGACAAGGUUGCAGGUUUGGUACUAGCUCAAAGCCCAUAUAAUGGAAACCCAAUUGCUUCAGAUGUCAUAUCUAGGUGAUCUUCAUGCGCUAGAAGUCGAAAUGAAGAAGGAAUUCAUGUCGCAGCUGGUGUGCUGACAUCCCUCUCUCAUGUCGCGCAUGUGGAGAUACCCUGCAAGGAUUUUGGUCACGAUGCAACUUUUAGCCACACUGGUAGCACGGUCGCAGCUGCUGGCGGCAAUGUACGGCGAGAAGUGUGACGAGGAAGGAUGCGGAAGGUUUUCCAUGAAACAAGUCAUCUUCAUCAUUCUCUUCAUCAUUUUCUGCAUAUUCGUCGUCUUCAUCGCGCUCAUUGUUUUCGACAUCUUCUUCUUCAAUUUCAUCAUCAUAAGUCCUAGAGUUCUGGAGGCAUAAAACAGGUUAUAGUGUUGCUGGAGGAAGAUUCAAAUGCUCAAGUUUCCGAUUAAGCUCAUCUAAUCUCCUUGGGUGGCUUCCUAUAAGGUCCUCCCCUGAAAUGGCGAAUCUCUCCGUCCCUUGGUCUCUUGGCGGCGAAGCCGAAUCUCCCCGGCGCCGGCGCUUCCGAUGCAAGGCAAAACUCCAAGCGAUGAGAAGAAACGAGGAAGAUCCAAUAAUGUUUGAUGACAGUUCUUCGGAAUCAGAGAAGGAAACCCAAGUUUAGCCGUACAUACUAAGGGGACCUCGUAACCUCGGAGAAGAGUUGUUUGACGAGCACUGUGUGUGGGGAAACACCUUCAUACUCAGAGAGUACCAGUGCGACUACCUCAAUGCUAUGGUUGAUGAUCACCCUGGGACUCCAUUCAAGCACUACAUCUACAAGCUAAGCAACUCCACUGUCGUGCAGAAGAACUGCAAAAUGGUAUGUACUACUUAAAAAAUGAAACAUUGAUACUAGUGUUCCAACUGUUCAGUUUCCUUUGCUUGGGAUAUAAGAGCUAAAUUCUUCUCCACAUAUCGAAGUCAUCCUGUUCAUAUCAGUAAUUAAAACUUAUACCUAGAUACUUAAGAAAUGUAGGGCUAUCAGUAAUUGAACCAACUACAAAGGUUUGACAUGCAUCUUGUAAUUUAAAAGUGAAUGGUACAAUAUCAUAUCUAUAGUGAUUGCCAUGAUGCUGUCUUGGCAACAACUAUGUGAUUGCUUUUGCUAAGAUUAUCGCCCUCAGAUGAAUUUAGAUAUUAAAAAAAGUUAUAAAUGUGGAAGAACACGCCCGUGUAAAAUCUGUUAGCUCCAUUCCCUUUGAACCUAACUGUUUGCUAUUGCUAAAUUUUCAUAUAUCUCCCUGUGUGACAACUAUUAUCUACAUUACUUAUGCACAAAUCUGUUUGUCUCAAUUCUUUGACAGGAAUUCUCUGGUAAAUUCACUGAGAGGUACCUCGCACGUCACCUGGAUGAUCCAAUUAAAAUUAGAGUGCGCUACACGACAACAGACAGAUUCUACAAUGUGAGGAUGAGUCUUGGUUUGGAUAGGAAGAGGGCCAUGCUGACAACCGGGUGGGCAAAAGUUGUGAGGAGGUUCCACUUAGAAGAAGAUGGAACCUACAUCUUCACAUUCGCCUAUGGAACGGAGGGUAAACUCAGGCUCCUCAUCGACCCGCUAUAAGUAUGCUACCUAGUUGGCAAGGCCUACUAAUUAUUCUGCUAAUGACUGCUAGUUGCUAGGGUCUACUAAAUUACCGCCGUUAAGGACUGCUAAGUAGUUAUGGACUUCUAAGUACUUUUGAACUGCUAUGUCUAGUUGUCUAGUAAGGACUGCUAGUACAGACUACUCUAUGUGUAAUGUCUUAAGUAUGUAUGGACUGCU